GGUCGUAUGGUGUAGCGGUGAUCACUCUGGACUUUGAAUCCAGCAACACGGGUUCGAAUCCCGUUACGACCU
rnacentral:tRNA from 1 species